UCAGUCAUAUUCAGAAUUUUGAGUGGUAUAUGAUGAAUAUAGAUUUCGGCAUUGAGUUCUUGUUUCUUUUCUUAUAUACCUUUCGAGUGUAUUUAUUUACGUGUUUUGCAACGUUUUUAUUUAUAAAUCAUGUCUUGUUUUCCGAUCAUAUUUUUUGUAAGUUGUAAUCCGCGUCAACGUGCUGUUUAUAAUUUUUCCUACUUUGCACAAGAACUUUGUAUCAUCGCUAAAAAGUGAGCAAUAACUAUUUUCAAAUUACAGGCCUAAAAGUGAAGAAAAAUCGACCGGUAUAUGAUAUUGGCAUGAUUGAUGUAGAUAGAAAGGGCUUUGCGAAGAAGGAAGAUAUUGUUACUGCUGGUGGACGAGUGACGAUCGGUCGAUGUAAAUGGAAAGGUCUUUGUGAAGGUAGAAGAUAAUUGUUACUGCUGGUGACCGAGUGGCAAUUGAUCGAUGUAAAUGGACAGCAGGCAUACGAACGCGAAAUGAGAUUUUGAAGAAACAAGAUAGCAAUGGAACGAAAUAUUUCACCCAUUCUUCCGGGAACAGCGAAUCAAGGCGAUUUCAAUAUUACAAAUCUGGAUAAAGUGCGUACUGGACAGAUGAUUAAUCUCACAUGAAGCAGACGAAGAACGGCAGUUUUAUAUCUUGUUAUAGACUAUGGAGUGUUUUAGAAUUGUACCAAUCGUAUUUUUUUCCAUUUUAUUUUAAUCAGUUUUGUAUCCGGGUUUUAGAGGAGAUCAGCGCUUGCUUUGCCACCCCAGAUCGUGGGUCAUGAUAGGUAUUGAUUGUUUAGGGACACUGAGAUUUCUUGAUGUGUACAUGUGAGUGCUGCCAUCGUAUAACUAUCACCUCGUAGACUGCUAUCAUAGAUACAGACGCAAUAUUUAUUCGAAUACGGUAUCUUGUACGUUGGUAAGGUUCCUGUACUUUUUCACAAAUUCCGUCGUUCUGUGCCUAGAAUCUUUGCAGUUUUUCUUAUUUUAACGUAAUUUAGGAAGUUGUAUUUCUUUUUUUAAUUAAUGAUUAAUAAAUAAAUAUAACC